AUGGCAACUGACCGUAACAUAGCUAUCACCAAUAUCUAUGCCCCCUCCUCCCGCGCCCUCAAGCAAUCUUUCCUCGAUGAGCUACUUGCUAUCUCACAACCAGACGACUCACCCUGGCUACUUGUGGGAGAUUUCAACCUCCUCCGUUACCCCUCCGACAAAAAUAAUGACGCGUUUAGACAAUCCGAAGCCAAUUCUUUUAACCACACUAUUGAUGAACUCGCCCUCAUCAAACUACCACUUCUUGACCGCCAAUACACUUGGUCCAACAAUACAGCAACACCCACCCUAGAACGUAUCGACCGUGCCUUUUUCAACUUAGUUUGGGCAGACGCCUUCCCAAACUCCUCCCUCUUCUCCCUCACACGCUUCACGUCCGACCACAUACCCCUCCUCAUACACGUCACCACAACGAUCCCGCGGUCCAAUUUUUUUCAAAUUUGA
rnacentral:rRNA from 1 species